CAUAUAUACAUUCGAACCACUUUUGGUCAUAUUGCUCUUUAUCGAGAAAUCAAAGAAGCUAUACAGGGGUUUUCUCGGGCCUAUUUAUAUGGUACCUAACGUAAUUCUAUGAUACCCGUGGGACUUCGGGGCUCUCCGGUUCAGCUAGGCACUGUUGGUCAUAUUGCUCUUUAUCGAGAAAUCAAAGAAGCUAUACAGGGGUUUUCUCGGGCCUAUUUAUAUGGUACCUAACGUAAUUCUAUGAUACCCGUGGGACUUCGGGGCUCUCUGGUUCAGCUAGGUCCAUAGUUCUGGAAUUUAUACGCGAAUCAUGAUCGAUAAAAGGAAGUUUUACAAUCACCGACUCAAACUCAUUAUCGAAU
rnacentral:lncRNA from 1 species